GGAGGGGGGAAGAGAGAGAGAGGGUGAGAGAGAAUCUGAGACAGGCUCUGUGCUGUCAGUGCAGAGCCCAACAUGGGGCUGGAAUUCACAAACCACGAGAUCAUGACCUGAGCCAAGAAGGAGUUGGAUGAUUAACUGACUGAGCCAAUCCGGCUCCCCCAACAUACAUACCAAUUUUUUUUUAGUGUUUAUUUAUUUUUGAGAGAGAGAGAGAGAGAGAGAGAGAGAGAGAACAGGGGAGGAGCAGAGAGAGAGGGAGACACAGAAUCCGAAGCAGGCUCCAGGCUCCGAGCUGUCGGCACAGAGCCCGAAGCGGGGCUCGAAAUCACGCACUGUGAGAUCACGACCUGAGCCGACAUCUGAUGCUCAACCAACUGAACCACCCAGGCGCCCCUUUACCAACUUUUUAAACACCACCCUAGGAUCCCCCAGAAUCCAAUCACCCAGGCUUAUAAAUUAGAGGAAGUGACACCUGGGUAACAAUGGGAAUUCCAGGGAGAGUUACUUUGGGAACCCAAGUUCAUUUGACUGCUCAUCUUUAUGAUAGGAUUGUAGGGGUGCUGCAUGUUGUGUCAAUCAUCAAACGUUGGAGAGGCAGAAUAAGUGAGGACAUCAGCCUGAGUUCAGGGCAAGAUAUCCUCUAAACCAGCUCAGCAAACACGGACUAUUCACUGUUCCUCUCUGGGUGUUGCUAGCCUGGUCUCUUAACUCCACCCUUGACUCAUUAAAAUCGGUGCUGGGCUGGAAAAAUCAUCAAGAUCCUCCCGACAAUAAGAUUUUCUGUUCCCAUAUCUCUCUAGCCACCUUCUCAUGGUGACUUCUAGUUAAUCUCUUAUUUCUGUUUGCGUCAAUGACGAGAAACCCACUGGAGCCACAAAGGCCAUUGAUCCCCCCACUUCACCAGCCUUAAAGUGAUCCUUAACCUCUGUGUGCUCCAUGCCUCUUGCCCUCUCCUGAGUCUAUCCUCAUCGUCUCAACUCUUCUAGGUCCACUUGAAAUCCCACCCCCCACCCCAGCAAGAUCCUACUUGACUCUUCCCCAAGCCACAUUCAGAGACAUUGCAGUGGCAGCUUGAAGGCAGUCACUUUAGGAGCAUUUAAACAGAACUGGCAAGAACUACCCAUCAGGCCAUCGUUAUUGUUUUGAGAGCUCGUUUAUGAGCCCACCACUGCUCAUACCCAAUGUCCUACCCCCAUUUGACUCCAGCCAUUUAAUACCCCACAGGCCAUUGUUUUAUCAUGUGCCUAUACAUGUCUCACUACAGAGACUGUGGGGUCAUCAAAUUCUUUACAUCUCUGCAGUACCUCAUGUACCUUAUAAGUAGUGAGCACUCUGUCCGUACUGUUCAUCUCAUUUCCUUGGGUGUACUUUUUUCGAUCCAGUUGGUUGCAUGAAAAUCUGUUAAAUAGUCCAUUGUCAUUUAUGCAUUCAUAAACCAUUUAUUCAGACCAAGGAGCAUUUACCGUGUGCCAGGCAUUAGUUUAAAAGGCAGAAUCCCUGAUAGUAAAAGCAGUAGGAGGUCUUUUCCCACAGAGAGCUCACGUUCUAGUCAGGAGAGACUAAAAAUAGACAAGUAAGCAAAUUAACAAAUAAAUUGGAUGCUGUCUGUUAACAAUAAAAGAAUAACUUGGAAGGAUGGAAUAGAGGAACUGGAAAUUGGGUGGUACCUAAUCUCAGGUUGAGAUGUGUGUUUGCUUCCUGUCGCUGCUAUAACAAACUAUCACAAGGUUUUUGGCUUUAAACAAUACAUAUUUAUCUUACACUUUGGGACGUCUGAAGUCUAAAAUGGGUUGGCAGGCCUGUGUUCCUUCUGGAGGCUCUAGGGAAGAAUCCAUUUCUUGCCUGUUGCAGCUUCUGAGUCCAUUUGUACCACUUGGCUCCUGGCCCUGCACAUCUCUGACCUCUGCUUGUGUCAUCACAUCUCCUCCAACUCUGACUCUCUUACCCCCUUCUUUUCCUUAUAAAGAUCCUCCCUGCCUGGGUAAUCCAGGAUAAUUUCCCCAUCUCAGAAUCCUAAACUUGAUCAUAACUGAAAAGUCCCUUUUGCUCUAUAAGGUGGCCUAAUCAUAGAUUCCAGAGACAGGAUGUAGACGUCAUCGGGGGACAUUAUUGUGCCUCCCAAGGGAAGGCUUUCUUGAGGAGGUAACACUUGAGAUGACACUCAAAUAACAAAAACAUGAGGGAGAGUAUUCCAGAUAGAGAGAACAUCCUGCAAAGAUCAUGAGCCUGGCCUGAGCUUAGAGUUUCUGAGGAAGGUUCCAACUCAUUUGAAUGAGCAUCCAGAGGGAGGCCAGGGAGGUAGGUAGGCAGGGCCCAGGUGCCUCAGCAUCAUGGGGGCCAGAGUGGGAGCAUGGACUUCAUUCUGAGUGUGAUGGGGAGUUGGCAGAGGACUCAAGAGUUGUGUUUUUCACUGGGUUGAUCCAUACUUUAAUGGAAACAACUUCUCUGGCAAUUGUCUAAAGCAGUGCUGGCCAGUAGAAAUAUAAUGCAAUGCACAUUUCUAAUUUUAAGUGUUCUGGUAGCCAUAUUUUUAAAAAGUGAAAAGAAACAGGGUAAGUUAUUCUUAAUAAAACAUUUACUUAACCCCAUACAUCAAAAACAUUAUUUCAACAUGUAAUCAAUAUAAAGAACAUAAGAAUGUGAUAUUUUUACCUUCUUUUAAAAAAAGUGUUAUGUCUUCAACCUCUGGUGUAUGUUUUAUGCUUAAAUCACAUCUCAGUUUUGACUAGUCAUAUUUCAAGUGCUCAAUAGCCACCUGUGGUUUGUGGCGACCGUUUUGGACAGUGCACCUCUGGACACGGUCCUCACAAUCCUGUGAGGAGUCUACUCAGGGAAUGUUUGAAAAAGCAGUGAACAGUGGGGUGUCACACAGAAUGUGGGGCACAUGUCACUGCCCUUAGCCAUUCCCAACUUCAUAAGAAGAAUAUAAUAUAUUCUAGACAGGAAUGUGUCCCCUGGUCCACUCUGAGUGGACUCUUGUCUGGCUGGAACCUCCAAGGAACACCUAUCUCUAUCCAUUUGAGUGGUCUUUAAGUUCACCUCUUUGUCUACCCCUCAUACCUUUAAUCCCCUGAGAGUUUUAGCCCAAGCCACACUUUCCCCACUUCUUUAUAGACAGGGCCAUUUAUUCAACUCAUUGUACCGAUAUUAUGGAAAACAAGGGCAGAGGUCAAGAAUGGGAAAAAUUGAAUGAAGCAACAAGAGGCUAUCAGUUGCUAGGCAAGAACUGUAUCUCAGACGCUCCCAAGCUGUACCCAUGCCUUCCUGUGCUCUCACAGUGACCCAUCCCCGAUACUAACCAGCCACAAAAGUCUAGCCCGAAAAGCUUAGUACAAUAACACCAUGUAUAUUCAUUUAGAGUUUUUACAGUGAUAUUAAAUUAAAAGCGUUUAUGAAAUAGAAAAUAAAGAUCUGAAUUAAAAAGGGAGGUCAUGGAGGUUACAUAAAGGCCAGCUUAGGAGAAGCAUAUUCAACACUGCACAAGACAGUAAAAAUAACAGCAACAUUUAUUAGAAUAUCCUAUUUAGAGCCAGUGAUCUGUGCCACACUGCUUUCCGGAAAAGGGAUGGCACCAGGUUCCCUUCUGAUGAUGGAUUUGGUGGGCUGGCACCUUGACCCGGACAUCUGGGCUGUGGGUACCAGCAGCACCAUCAAAAGACAGUUUGGCUGUUUUGACAUGUAGGGACAGAAGCUCUCAUGUGCAAGGACAAAGGUGCCUUCAGUGAGUGCUUUGGGGCUUUAGAGCAGCAGUCAAAUUACCAGUGGCUCUAAUUAGUGUGCCUGCAAUCUGGAGCGAUCUAUAUCUGCAUCCCAAAAAGGGGUGGAAUGCUUCCCUGUGAUAACACAUUAGCACAAGACAUUCUUGGUUGAGUUUCCCAAAAUUACAAGGACAUGAUGGUGUGGGAGAGAAUCAGCCUCGAUGGAAGCCUGUUGCUUUCAAAAUCAGCAGCCAUCUUUGCAAUCAGCCAGUGAACAAAUAUUUGUCUACUACCUGUGAAGUGCUACAAUCUGGAGGAACUUAAGCAGCAUGAGGUCCCUACUUCCCAGGGACUUAAGACCUGGCUGGAGAAAAAAAAUAAUAACCGUGCAAUAAUAAAUAACAGUACAUGGCACUACUGUGGUACACUGGGUCAGGUUCUGGCCUGAGAAUCAGUAGAUCUAAGUUCUGCCACGAACUCAGCUAUUUCUGAGUGCUACUACCUGUGGUCUAGUCAUCACCUAGCAGGGGCAAUGGUUACUGGAUCACACAAGACUCAUUUCCUUAGGACAAGGCACCUUACCUCUCUGGACCUCAAGAUCUUCUAGAAAUCAAGAGGGUUUGGAGAGAUUAUGAUGGUGGCAAUAAUAAUAAUGGCUCCAUACCGUGACGUCUAACUUUGUGCUCGUGAUUGUGCCACAUACGUUACAUAAGUAAAGUUUUCCCAGUUUAUAUAGAUGAGAAAACGGAGAUUUAGGCUAAGUAAUGUACCCCAAAGCAAAGAGCCCUGACUAAUGCAGACCUGAGAUUCAAUAGCAAGCCUUUGGGUCUGUAAGUUUGGAAUCUAAAUGCCCUGCACCCCAUCCCAGCUAUCACAUUCUUUAGUUCUGGGACCUGAAAUAAUCAUGGGAAGAUUACUUGGGAGGCUUACUGGGUGAAGACUGAUGGAAAAACCAUGUUGCAGUAAAACAUGGACCGGGUGUAAGCAGAGCUCCAGAGGGAGAAAGACACCUGUCGCUGUGGCUCAGAGAAUUCAGACCCAACUGUAUCAGAACACCGUGAUGCUGGAAUUCUUCAUCUCUGUCUGGGAUAUGCUGAUCAACCAAUGCCGGUGUCUCAGUUUGCACUGAUGCAGCACUGGUCAUUCGGCAAGACAGUCACACAGCAGGCGGAGUCACCAGAAGGGGACUUCAGGGCUGCUGCGUGAAAAUAAGUCUCAACUCUUCAACAUUUUCAUUUUAUACUAGUCUCAGCCACAGGUGGAAGAGCUGUGAAUUUCACUUUAGCCAUAAUGUUUGGUUAGGACACACACAUACACACACACACACACACACACACACACACACACUGGCACCCACAAAGUCUUCACUUUGAGGCAAGGGUGGGUUUGGUUUCCUUCGCUUACACAACUGAUGCCGCCCAGGGACUCUUUGGUUUAGAUGGCUCAUUAGCCACAAACUGUUUCGUUAUGUGUUGCCCAGUUACCUUGGCUUCCUGCACGUUCUCUUGAGCGGAUAGUUCAUCUUCUUAUCUCAGAGAAUUGUUUCCCCAAGUAGCUCCAGAGUGUGUAGCUUUGAUACCAUCGAGGCAAGAAGGCAUUAAACCACCCUUUUUGUAAUUAUUUUAAUCGUACUUUUUCAUGUCUGCUUCAUGAAAAGAUGAUGUGGUUAGAUUUAAGCUGGGCCUUGCUGAGGGUGUCGUUUAUGCCUGGGGUUACCCACAUGGUCACGUGCCUUACCUUCUUUUGCAGCAGGGUGAUCUUAUCUUCUUUGUUGCACCUUGUCAGAGAGCAUCCACCUCCUUCCAGCUUUUAUGUGUGUGUGCGUGCACACACAUGUGCGUUUAGGCGUGUGUGGAGGUUUGCUCGUGGCAGCAGCUUGUAAAAUGAUACCUUGCCAUUCAUCUAUAAUGAGGCCUUUGCUCUACUCUUAGAAAAGAAAACCUUUAUUGGCUUUUCACUUGGGAAUUUGGAGCAAAGUUUUCCUUAAGCAGAUGUAUUUCUAUUUAAUUUAAGCAGGGAAUUCUCUUUUUCCCUCUAUGUGUCAGGAACUGACCCAACUACUUAGGGUACAGAGAUGAAUAUGAUUGAGCCAGUGUCCUUGAGAGAUUUUCACCGUAGCCGUAGAGAGAAAGCAUGUUAACAAAUAGCUAGGAUUUAACCCAGAAAGGGCCGAGAGGUGCCAUAAAUGCAGUUCUGAAGGAAGACAGACAAGGGGGACUAGAAAGGAAGAGCCAGGGGAGGUUAUGAAAAGGAGAAGACAUUUAAAAUCCGUAUUUAAAGUCAAGUACAAGUAUUCCAGUUAAAAAGGUAAAAAGUAUUCCCAGCAGAGGGAAUAGCAAAAGAGAUAAGGAAGAUAUGGACAUGUGGGCUAUGUUUAGUAUGGCUUGAGCAGAGCAGGCAUACAGAGGUGAGGCUGGAGAAAGGUGGGCUGACCCAGCUAGAGGAGGGCUCUGUGCAUUGUCCUGGGAUGUUUAGCACCUGGGAUAGCAUCCUGGGAUCUUCAGCUGUAAGCACUUUUAGCAUUUAGUGUCCUACGCUCUUUCGCCUUAAGAUUUAAACCCAAUGAGUGCACCAGACCCCCCGGAAAGACAGGAGGACACCUUACGGGUCCUUGCCAAAAUGAAGACCUUGGCCUUCCCCAGCCAGACAGGGCUGUGCCUGCCAGUCUCUCCCUGGUUCUGACUCAGCCUGUGGCUUUCCUUUCACAAGUGAUUUAACCCUCCUAGUACCUGGCUUGCUGUGCUCAGAGUGUGAAUCCUCAAAGUGUCCUUGACUUCUGCUGACACCUUGAAAGACACAUGGGAAGAAUCGCUUUUAUAGCUCAUGUGGCUCUUGGGAAGUCAACGGACGCUUAACCAUGACCUCCAUAGGGACAGUAGAAACAGGCAUUGGUUUGGGUGGUGGCAGUACAUUGUUGCCAGGCUAGGCAAAGAGCUCUGUGCCUGGGAGACUUAGAACUCGUGGCCUUGCCUGGCCUCUGCCACUCUCAGGCUGAAUGACCUUGGACAAGUACUUUCUGUCCAGGCUCCGGUGAACUCACCUGCUCAUGGAGGGGCUGGCCUCCAUGGCUUCCUUCUGUGUCUGAUUCUGUCUUACCUCUUUAACUUUUAGGAACUCAGAGUGUUCUAUGAUGGAAGAGUCUGACCGGAAGCAUUUCAUGUUAACAUAGGGCCUCUGGGAGGUUUGUGCCUUGGACGAGGGAAGAAGAAUCACCCGGAGGCCCAGUGAGGAUGCCCCUUCCUCCAUCUCCUAGCAGCAAAACAGCUGGAGAAAGAGGGAGGCAGAACCCAGCUUCCUACCUGAGUCAUCCUUAGGUGUGGAGGUUUGGAGAAUGCCCCCUGGGAAGGGGGCUCUGGGAGCCACACAGCAGCAGUGGGUAGAAAAGGAGGAUGGAGUGAGGGGGAGGGGGCUACAGCACGCAGUUGUCCUCUGGCUCGGAUAGAUCCAGCCAGCUCCAGCCCCACCACCACUGCCCUCACCCGGCAGAUGCUGUGGCCUGCUUCCACUGCCUGGCCACUCAGUGCCUCCCAGGCUGCGUGUCAUGUUUGUCACCCUGUUUUCUACUCUGAAGGCUGAGCAUUCUCAAGUCAUAUGCAUUGAGGGCUCCUCUGCACAUGGUCCUCAGUUGGGUUUCAGCGGAGGUGAUCCACGGCCGCCAAAGCAUAUGUAGACGGGAGAGCCCAGGGUGGUCUGGCUGCAGCACAGGGCACCUAUUACCAUCCUGACCACAGGUUUUGGUAUCAUAACAAAUGACAUGGGUUCAAGUGCCGGGCCCGCCGACUCAGCGUACAGCUUUUCAUGGUCACUUCAUCUCUGUGGGCCUUAUUUUCUCAUCUCCGAAGGGCAGGUAACAGGACUUUGUACGACUGUCAGAAGAACAGACUCAGAUGAAGUCUUAGUGCUGUGCCCGGCAUGUAGUAAGUGCCCCAUAAGUGGUAGCUUUAAAAAAAAAAACCUAGUAUUAUUAAGGUCUAGAAAAGUAAGUUAGGGCCGGAACAUAGAGGCUCCUUUCUGCCAAGGCAAGGGAUUUAGAUGUUGUCCUUCAGCCCAUGGGCAGCCACUGAAGAUACUCCAGCAGGGAAUGGCAUUAAAGAAAUUGGUGUUUGGGGAAAUCUCCACCUGUCAUCAUUUUGGGGUGCACCGGAAGCAAGAAGGAAUGUUGGAGCCUGCUCAGGCUCUGUUGGUGUCCAAGCAAAAUGGAUGAGGGCCCAGGGAGGUAGCAAAGGGAAUGGAAUGGAAAAACAGAAUCAAGACCUUUAAAAAGGAAGAUGGCUGAGGAGGAUGAGUCGGGCCCUGGGCUGAGAGGCAGUAGAGGAAAAUGAAGGAGGAUGUACCAAAGAAGGCAUCAACCCAGAGUGGGGUGUGAGUGUUCUCUGUCCUGGGGGUGGGGGUGACUGUUGACCCGGGUCCCAACACCGUGGUUUUGGGCACAUUGAUUGGUUGUACAUUUUGUGUCAUGCUUUGUGCACAAAGGGUUCGAGAUGGUUUUACGUGGUCUAUACUUUCCUCGUGAGGAAAAAUGAACUGAAACAGUAAUGACCAAAGGAAAGAGGAGAUGGAAACGAGAGCAACAUUGUCGGGAAGUAGAGAAUGAGGAAUAAGAUGACUGACAACACAGGGAUGGGAGUGGUGGUGUCGGUCCCACAAUGUCAACUUGUGGCCUUGGAAUUCUAUUAUUUCCCACCUACUCCCUUCCUUAGGGAAGCAUCCCUCCCAAAGGGACAGAAAAAGCAGGUUUCUUUCACCUCUUUUCUACCUUCCAGAAUAACAGUGGGGUAUUUCUCAAUGGUAUUUUUCAUCUUCCUUUUCUUUGUAAUGGCAGAAGCAAGGGCAGUUGCCUUCUUCUCCAGAAGCAGUAAAAGUCCCAGGAAAGGAUGAGAGGGAGGGAAAGCAAGCAAGAGCAACAGAAAGGGAGAGAGAGAACCCAUCGCCAGGUGACCUGCUGGUCGGAUGGUGGUCGUGGCGGCUGCCACAGAACCAUCCAGCUUGUGGCUUUGCUUCCUCUUUCUUUCUCUCUAGUCGCACAGAAUCACUCAGCCCUAGAUUCCUCUUGGGUUUCAGAACGCAAGAGGUCUGUGAGGAUACCUUGCAGUGCCUGAGGCCCGAGAGAGCGUUCCCAGCCACCGCAGAAUGUUUGGAGUCUCCGGGCAAGUGUUGUUUCCAAGUGUUGUCUCUGGGCAGUUGUUGUCAGCUGCUGGGUGGCGUGGGGAGAAAACGAGGCACAGUUGUUUCCUGCAGGUCUCUGCUGACAGUGCUAAUGGAGAGUCACUCAACACUUGGUAAGUGCAGUGAAUGUUUUUAUUCUCAAUGCCCAAAUUUCUCUGGCUUCCGUAAGUUAUUGUUGUCGAGGAAGAAGGUGGUAUUAUCGCCACCCUCCCUCCCCGUGUGGUGUGACAGCGCAGAGAUCAUUAUCUCUACACCUAACUCAGCAUUGCUUUUUUGGGGGUAACAGCUUUCAAAAAACCAUCAACUGGGCUCCAGCCAGUCAGGCUUCAAGGGCAGUUACCACAGUGCAAAAAGGCAGACUGCUUUGUCGGGCGUGCUGCAGGCCACGGAUGCAGGCUUUAGGGGAUAAUGAGCACAUCCUUUCUUUGUCACAGAUCAGAAUCUAGACCCACUCGUUCUUGGGACAAGGAGAGAGGGGAGCUGGGUGACAAGUGUGCUGGUUAACCUAGAGCUCCUUCCCAUCUCUCCUCUGCCAGUCUGGCAGUGGCUGGACACGUGCAGGGUCCCUUUAGAGAGAAGAAAACAGCUUAGCAAACAUCUAGCUGUCAUGAUCUUCUUCCUAAUGGGAACCCUGAGGCUGAACUAACUUUCCCCAGGUCAAGCCCCGCUGCAGUUUAGAGCUACAACAGGAUUCGAGGUGUCAUUGGCUCUGCAUUCAGUGUUCAGACACUUCUUGGUGAAGCGCAGAGAGAUUGGCUCUGCAGAGGUAGCCCUGGACCAAAUCCAGCCUGAGGACCCAGGAGAUGUCGUCUUCACCCAGCUCCAUGCCAGGCCCUCGGUGCCCUCUGGGGAUGCUGCAGAGCCCUCUGGGACAGAUGCUGAGGACACACAGAUGAGAGGACAAGUCACCCGGAGCCAGUGAGUCGCAGAAACAGGCACCUCCUUCUUCCCAUUACGAGUAGGCUCUCUUAGGCUUGAAUGUCCCACAAAGAAACCAAGCCGCCGCCCCCCCGCCCCCCCCCCCCCCCAUGUUAUGGCAGUAGUUGGCAACAUCAGUCCUCAGCGAGUAGAGUUCACUCUGGAAGCAGUUCUAACUGCUGCUACAGACUCAGGCCUUCCUCUACCUACUGGAACCAUCUCAGGGCCAGCUCGGCACACUCAGCUCCCUUCUCCCUGUCGUAGCUCACGUACCAUAGAUGGUCCUCCCACAGGGAGGACUCUCCUGCCUGACCCUACUCCAGGCUGCUAAGCACGACAGACUCUUAGUUCAUCUUCUUCCAGUUUGGGAAUCUUCCUUCUUUAUUUACCUUCUAAAAUGUUUUCCUUCAAUCAGGCAGGCAGCAAAAUUGUCAUAGUGCCUCCUGGUUGCCAGCCUCUCUAUAAGCCGCUACCAGUGAUGCAGACACACACAUAGCCGUCCCUGUACGAGAUUUUUUUCUACCUAUACUUCUAGUGCCUCUAAGAGCCCAGGACAAGGUCACUUUAUCUCACCAGGGCAGGAGCCAUACUUUUCCUUGUAUCCUAUGGAGCUGCGCUCCCACGGGUACCAAUCUCAUGGAAUACCAUGAACGGUGCUCCCCGGAAUUAUGAGAUCACUGUAUAGACCCAGGGUCCCCUCUGCCACAUGUACUGUGUGGAAGUGUGAGGAUAUAAUAUGGUCGUGCGUAAACGUACGAUCUCAAAAGCCCAGCAGAUUGGAUUCAGAUCUGGGCUCCACUGUCUAUCAGCUUUGUGGCUUUGGGUCACUUAAUCUCUCGGAGCUCCCAAUGAGAUCAUCAUGGUAUUUAUGUUUAGGGUGGCUUGAUAAAUUAAGUUAAAAAUACAACUAAAGAGAUUUUUCAGUGGGGCACAUAAAGGGCCAGUACGUGUUAGCAACUGUUAUUAUCAUUGUUGUUAAUAUACUGAUUGCUCAGUCUUACUGUCAUUAUGUUCAUUAAAGGUAGGGCACACUGUGCUGACAGUGCCCAAUAACACAAGCCCUUAAUGUGUUGAAUGAAUGUUUUCAAGGAUGAUCAGUCAGGUGGGGCUCCAAAUGCCCUGUUACAAGAAAAAGAAGAAAAUUGUCUGGGGGAACUGAAUUAGAACCAGAAGACACUGAGUUUUUUUUAAUGUGGUUUUGGUUAAAUCGUGUUCUCUGGGAACUGAAAGCAAAGAGGGAAAUCUUGACCUGGCCACAGUUUUGACACCUGCAAGUAUGAGGCUGUUGUUAUCUGGUGUGGGUGAGGUUAUUUAUGAACACACUGUUGUUUCCCCCCUUCACUUGGCCUCAUGCUUCUUUUCUGAAGGAAACCUCCAGAAGGAUGGGCCUUAGGUCUGUAGUCUUCAGGCCAGAUUUCAUCCUGCACAGACAAGGUACGCCACAGGCUUCUCUCUCCAUGGCCAACCCAGGGCACUGGUCAGCCAGGCCCCGGGACCUGCUGCCUUUCUGCUUGGACAGCACACCCUGGUUGAUGGGGCAGGUGCCAAGAUGUUCCCUCUUCCCCAUGCCAGACUUCUGGAUGUUUGGAUACAGCUGGAGAGCUUUCUCGUUUUUUCAUGAUGUUCUCGAUGUUUGGUGCUGUGCUGUCACAGCCAGGGUAAAGUCCCACACCUAGACCCUGUGUGGGUCAGCUUGUGUUCAGUGUUAAAAGCAGGAUGAGGGUCCAGGACUCUACAGGCCAGACCAGGCUUAAAUCAGCAGGUAGGGAUCUGGCCCAAGCUUAUGGGAAUGAAAAUUGCACCUGUUUUCUAGAGUUAUCAGCAGAUUACUCAAACUGUGGCUCAUGGUUCCAUUGGAGCAUGUGCUGGGGAGACAGAUGGUGUCAGAGGAGACAGCCAGACAUUGAAUCCAGAUCAUCCCAUAGCAUUUGAAGACUCGAGUGUAUAUCAACGAUGAUCAUAAGCAAUGAUAACAAAAUCUCUAUUUAGAGAAGGGCUGGGAAGCCAAAUCUUAAAAAAAUUUGGAGCAUCAACUGUGCUCCACCUCACGUUAUAUGGCCUGUGUUAUUUGUUCAUAAGAUCCCUUCUGGAGUGUUCAUAGACAUUUCCUGUGCCAACCCAAAGGGCACAAAGAGGAGGGAGAUAUCCCUUUCCUUCGGGGUGUAACUUCACAAUGCCAAAUGCUUGCAUACAAAGUGAACAGCUAGUUGCUUCCAAAUGUUUCCAGAUAUCCCAGUUUGGGGCAUCAUGAGAGGAGACCAUCAGAAGCUAACUCGUUUGGUAGGGCCUUCUGUGAUUUCAAAGCUAAUAGAUACAGUGAAGGCUAUACCCCCAGUUAGCUCUUUAGAGAAGUAAAUGGUGCAUGCGUUUUUUCCUAACUCUGUGGUCAACAUGGAAACGAAGGCCAAGGUUACCGGCCAGCAUUAGAUAGGAUUUAAAGUGUGUGUACCUCUACCUCCAGACAGGCUCCCCACUGUCUCUACAUUCCAGACAGGUAAUGAGGUCGCUGUUUUCUUGCUUUGUUUUUCACAUGUUAAACUUGCAGUACCUGCUACCAAGCCUGUGUUGACGUGUGCAAGGAAGGAUGGGGUUGGCAGUGUGUAGUACCCAUUGACUGAUAUACGUGCAUCCUCGCCGUUGCGUAAUUCUAGAGCCCCACCUGGAGAGAAGCUUGUGUGAGCCAAGCUUCAGUGCACAUCUGGAAUCACCUCAAUCAGACAGGCCUCAUUUUUUUUUUCCUGGUCAUUUUGUUUUCCUAUUUCCAUCCAUUGACCAAUAAAUAGGAAAUACAGGAUAGAAAGGCGUGGUUUUUGUGACAAGAAUUCAAGAUGGAGAAAUAAGAUUGCUGGGCUCUGGCCUGGGAUCUGCCUCUAAAGUUCCACGUCCCUUAAUUGCCCAUUCAGGGAGCCUAGGGAAGGGGCAAAGACAAGGUGAUAGAGGGCUUUAAAAGUCAAGGUAAAGAUUUUGUACUUGGUCAUGAGCACAGGGGGCCAUUGAAGGAUUUCUUCAGUAGGGAAGGUCCCGGUCAGAUUUACCUUUAGAAGCAUCACUGGCUGCAGCGUAUCCAAGGUUUUGAGGUUUAGACUAGAUGAAUGACAUGGGAAGGCAUGGCCUAGGGCAGUGGGGUUGGGAGGGGAGGGGAGGAGGGGAGUCUCUGGGGAGUCUUUCAGAGAUACACCCUUAAGGGCUUAGCAACCAAUGAACCUGAGUGAUGACAAACAGGAUGGGAUACAAAAAGAAUCCCAGCUUUUCUGUUGUGGUUGGAUGGGGGUGUUUCCAGCUAAAUGGAGAACCCAGGAGGCAGUAGAUUAGGCAAGAAGGCCACAGAUUUGGUUCUCAAAGUGCUGCAUCUGGAGUCCCCACUGGACAUGGGGGUAGAAAUGUUCAGGGAACCAAAGGAGAGUGAGUCUAAAACUGGGAAGAGAGCUCUGGUCUAGAGGUGGACACUGGGAGGUUAUCGAUUGCCUAGGAAGAGUGUGGAGUUUGGACCUACCAGCCUGCUGAUGAAAGAAACCUGUGGGACUAUCAUCAGGGGCAGGGGGAGCAUGUGGCAAAGAUGAAGAGAGAAUGGUCAGGACAGCUAGUGUAAACUUUCAAGUCUCCUCAUGAUGUCCUUACCAGUGUGUGAAACACCAAGAGCAAGAAUGAAGUUUCUCUGUUUUGUCUCCUCUGUCCUUCGGCACAGAAAACAGAACGGACCAGCACAAACUUUUAAGUGGUGUUUGAAGCCUCCUGGUAGUUCUCUACAGGCAUGUGCCUUCACAUGGGCUGGCAUUUGUUCCCACAUGUUCUGGGUAAACAACUAUCACACCAUGUCACCUGUAUUUUCAGCUGAAUGCCAUUUAUUAAAAAACAAACAGGGGCGCCUGGGUGGCUCAGUCGGUUAAGCAUCCGACUUCGGCUCAGGUCAUGAUCUCACAGUCCGUGAGUUCGAGCCCCACGUCGGGCUCUGUGCUGACAGCUCAGAGCCUGGAGCCUGUUUCAGAUUCUGUGUCUCCCUCUCUCUCUGCCCCUCUCCUGUUCAUGCUCUGUCUCUCUCUGUCUCAAAAAUAAAUAAUAAAAAAUGUUAAAAAAUUUAAGAAAACAAACAAACAAACAAAAAACAAGAAAAACAUAAGCCAAUCCUGCCUAUCAACUGUUAGGACCCAUGUUUAACCAUGAGAAACAUACCUGUUGAUGGGCAUAUUAAAAGAGGUUGGUGUAAUGGAGUAAUAAGUGAUUGAGCAGCACCCUAGGUAUUGAACUGUGCCUUGAAUACCACAGAACUUGAUAGUCCUUUAGACAAAAAUAGAUAAAUAGCAGGGAGGCUGUUUGCUUUUAAACUGAGAGUAAGUUUUCAUCUCAAUGGCAGUUGGGAGGUAAAAAAAGGGUCAGUGAUUUUUCCUACCUUUGGAGGUGAAUCAGAUGAUGCAGACCAGCCAUCUUCUAGGUUGUAUCUGAGGAUAGUAAACUAAAUCAGAGCAUCAUAAUGAUUAAAGAGGAAGUUUGAGUUUAAAGUGGAAGUAAGCUACUGACAAAUUUGUGGAAGGACAGAAGAGUCAGAAGACCUGGGAUCAGGUCCCCCUGUCACCACCUCUCUGACCCACAGGCUCCUCAUCUGUCAGAGUUUGCGGGGGGGUGGGGAGGUGCGGUCAUCACAGGUAGUCUUCUACAGAUUGUCAUGACAAUGAAUUGUGUAUGGAUUUUUCGGAUCUUUUUUUUUUAGAGAGGGAGAGAGUGUGCCAGCGGGGGAGAGGGGCACAGGGAGAUGGAGAAUCUUAAGCAAACUCCACUGUCAGCACGGAAGCCCGACUUGGGGCUUGAUACCAUGCCCCUGGGAUCAUGACCUGAGCCAAAAUCAAGAUUUAGAUGUUCAACCACUGAGCCACCCAAGUGCUCCUGGAAAUUGUUCUGUUAUGUGAAGUGUGUUGGGCCCAGGCUGUUUGAUUGGUGUCUUAUCUUGCAGGGAAGACUUCACUUUCAGGUAUGUCUCAGGUCCCUGGAGGGCCAUUCAGAGAGCCGAUGGUCUUUGUGCAGGUUAUGUUUUUGAAACCUUCUUUGGCCCGCAGUUUUGCUUACCCUCUCCACUUUACGAACGUCAGAAAGAUUAUCUGAUUGACUGAUAGAACACCAGCAACCCGGAGAGAUAUUGUAGCACGGCCCAGAGCUAUACUUUCCAUUUUUAUUAAAAUUCUUAUUAACUCAUAGCCCAAGAGCUUUUAAGCCAAGCCUGAUCUCCUUUAGGGCCCCUUGAUUUGAUCAGAGCAAUUUGUGUGCAGUGUUCUGGUCCCACUUUGUGGAAAGGCAGCAAUACAGCAGCCAAAUGGUGUUAUUCAGAAGAUGGUGGGAUUCUCUCUCCCUCCAAAACCCCCUGGCCUUACAGCCCUACUCCCACCCUGGCCACAUAGACACACUUGAGGUCUACAAUGACAAAUCCGCUUCCUGAGUUUAAGGCCUCCCACCCCUUUGAAAUUGUAAAUCUUUCUAGGAAAACUAUCAGUCCUUUGUAGCUCAGUGGUGCUGAAUUGGUUGGCUCCUGUUCUGAGUACAAAGAUAACUCUUUGGGGGGAAAAUAUCCUGCAAGGUAAGGGUCCUGAGGGAAAAUAACACCAUCUUGAGGUGCUAGGGGGAAAGAGGGACAAGUUAGGGACCUUGCCGCUUGGGGGCUAGCUCACAGUCUUGUGGAGUAGGAGCUGUCUGAAAAGGGUGCGAACAAAAUGGUUUUCUCUCAACAAACCUGCAGGAGCUCCAUGUGUGUGAUUGGGUCAGGUCCAUCAUCUGAGCUGUUGGGUAAAGCUGCGUCUCUGUUCUUCCCCCAUGGGCUUCAUGGCGAUUUUUAUCCUUCAGUUGGUGUUUGCUUAAGUGGCCUCCCUGAAUUACUCACAUUUAUCCUUCCAUUAAUAGGGAGUCUUAAACUUAAUGUCAUCACCUUGGUAAUCUGCUAAGCUAUAGAGCGCCUGAAAAUAGCAACUCUCUUAGCAGCUUGCUGAGUAGAAGCCAUUUCUUUCCGGACAUAAACUAUAUCUGGAGACUUUUUUAUUUUUCCUCAUAUUCGUGUUGAGGUACAGAACACAUAGCGUUGAGGCUGUGAAGGGUGGUGCCGCUGUCCCUAGGAUCGAACGUCCUAUCUCCAGCAUUGCUGACUUAGAUUUUAUUGCCAAGAAUUAAUUGGUAACGUGGCUCUGAAAAACCCUUCAUGAAUGAAAACUUGUAUCUGAGGCCUUAUUUUGUUAUCUGCCCAGUGUUUCAUGCCUGCUUUGUAUUUGAAGGUGCAGAUGUCCAGGCAGAGCCUUCUUCUUUGUAAUUUCAUAAUAUUUAAGGAACUGUUAUUUUUACCUUUUUUGUCCUCUCCUUUAUUUAUUCUACAAAGAUUCACAGAGCUGGCAUUCACUAUGUCCCUGGAACUGUGGUGAGCCUGCUCACGAUAUGCGGUGAAUAUUAGAGAGAGGACUGAUUCUCAAGAAUAGUUAACAUGGUUAUAGUGCACUGAUGGCUGAUGAAGUAUUCCCAUAAUGUCUAAACUCAAAACAACACAGUGCAGUGUGCAGAGGAAGGAUUAUAAUCACUUCUACCUCAUAAAUGACAAAACUGUCACUCAAGAUCAUGCAGGCAGCAAGUGCUGAAAUCCAGACUCGAACCCAAAUCUGCUAAACUCUAAGCCCUGUUCUCUCAACCAUACCCUACUGCGUCCCUGGAUCUUAAAGAAUCUUCCCAGGAGAUGAGGCGUAAGCAUGGAAUAAGACAAAUGACUAUAUAAAGAAGUCUGUGAUUAAAUAUCAAAUGCGUGGUUAAGACCGGUGUUGCCAGGUUCCAGAAAAUGGACAAAAUUAUUAUGGUAGCCAAAAAAUCAUGGUAGUAAAAGAGAAGGGGCUUGGUCAGUUAGGUUAGCUGGAGAGAAAGGAGAGACCUUUGACAAGAUAGAACCGAUUUAUCUUUCACGUAGAAGUCUGAGCUGAUGUGGCAGCUGAGCUACAAGAAUUUGGCAUGGACCCAGGCUUCUCCUGCCAGUCCUGGGCUUUCCUUCACCCGCAUCCCCAAGGUGGCUCACCAUCUUGUCCAUAUUCCAGGAAAUAGGCUGAAGAGAGAGGUGGUGGAAAGAGAGUGACCAAACAUUCCAUUUUUGCCCAGUUCUAGGGGAUUUUCCAGGACAUGAAACUUUCAAUGCUAAAAUCAGGAAAGUCCCUGGCAAAUGAGGGGGUUGUCAUGCUAGUUGUCGUGCUAGUUAUAGGGCCGCACCUGAAAGUUGUAUGUUUCACUUGUAGUUCUAUCCAGUUUGCUAGAACUUAGUCACGUGGUCACACCUGGCUGCAAGUGAGGCUGGAAAAUGUAGUCUUUAUUCUGGGUGGCCAUGUGCCCAGCUAAAAUCUUCCCAUGGAAGAAGGGGGUAAGAGAUACCGGGCCAUAACUAGCUAUCUCCGCCAUAACACAGAAAUAUUUUUGGUGGUAGAACAGUGUUCACAAAAGGUAACAAGCUUUUGUGUUGAGUGCUCCCCAGAUGAACUUUGAAAGGUCUGCCGCCUGCUCCCCACUAUUAGGAGAUAGCGUCGACCGUCCAGCUGACGUGUCAUGAUGGAGGGAACCUGUGCGCACAGGUAGUCAGUUCUGCCCCGGCAGACAUGCUCUCCAGCCUUGUUCUUGCUGUGCUGGAGUGCGGUUUCCAUACAAAACCCUCCCAGUUAGAGUUUGAAAUUCAUCUCAUCAAACACUCCAGCUCCAAGGACAAGAAGACUGGAUUGGGAUACGAAGGGACCAAAGGAGUGAGAGACAAUAUGGCAGUGUUUGGAAAUCAGUUGUUCAGUAGAAGAGAGCCUAGGACACAACUUAUGUAACAUAUCCCAGUCUGGUAAAGACCCUUCAUCACCUCCUCUAUCAUCCUAGCCUCCCGGGUAUUCCCAGUCUCCACACUGAUGAUACAAGCGUGUGACCAUGUGUCAACUUUGAAUUAUUGUUUCUCUUCUUGAUGGCCUAUGAUUUUUUUUUUUUUUUUU